rnacentral:rRNA from 1 species
UACGAAGGGGGCUAGCGUUGCUCGGAAUCACUGGGCGUAAAGGGCGCGUAGGCGGCCAUUUAAGUCGGGGGUGAAAGCCUGUGGCUCAACCACAGAAUUGCCUUCGAUACUGGAUGGCUUGAGACCGGAAGAGGUAAGUGGAACUGCGAGUGUAGAGGUGAAAUUCGUAGAUAUUCGCAAGAACACCAGUGGCGAAGGCGGCUUACUGGUCCGGAACUGACGCUGAGGUGCGAAAGCGUGGGGAGCAAACAGG